GACGAACCGUCCGAACGUUAUUCGGUAUCACUGGGCUUAAAAGAGUUCGUAGGCGGUCGUGUAGGUCAGGUGUGAAAAUCCCCACAGCUCAACUGUGGAACUGCGCUUGAAAACCACACGACUUGAGGGGAGAUAGAGGUGAGCGGGAACAGAUGGUGGAGCGGUGAAAUGCGUUGAUAUCAUCUGGAACACCGGUGGCGAAAGCGGCUCACUGGAUCUCUUCUGACGCUGAGGAACGAAAAGCUAGGGGUAGCGAACGGGGAUUAGAUACCCCCGGUAGUCC
rnacentral:rRNA from 1 species